rnacentral:rRNA from 1 species
UACGUAGGUGGCAAGCGUUGUCCGGAAUUAUUGGGCGUAAAGCGCGUGUAGGCGGUUCGGUAAGUCCGCUGUAAAAGUCAAAGGCUCAACCUUUGAAUGUCAGUGGAUACUGCCGGGCUAGAGUCCGGAAGAGGCGAGUGGAACUCCUGGUGUAGCGGUGGAAUGCGCAGAUAUCAGGAAGAACACCAACGGCGAAGGCAGCUCGCUGGGACGGUACUGACGCUGAGACGCGAAAGCGUGGGGAGCGAACAGG